GAGGAGGGAAUGGGGAGUUGGUGUUAGAUGUGUACAGACUCAGUUUGUACAAUGAGAAGAUUUUGGAGGUGGAUGGCAAUGAAAGUUGCACAAAAAAAAAAAAAAAAAAAAAAAAAGCAUGUCGUUAAUACCACCGAACGGCACAUUUAAAAAAUUGUCAAAGUAGCAAUAUUUCUGGUGUGUGUAUUCUACCACAAUUGAAAACACUCUUUAAAAAGACACUGUGAGGGCUGGAGAAGUUAAGAGCACUGGCUGCUCUUCCAGAGGUCUCAGGUUCAACUCCCAGCACCCACAUGGCAGCUUACAACUCUAACUCCAGUUGCAGGGGAUCUGAUGGUGCUUAACACAGACACAAAACAGUGCCCAUAAACC
rnacentral:lncRNA from 1 species